UACGUAGGGUGCAAGCGUUGUCCGGAAUUAUUGGGCGUAAAGAGCUCGUAGGCGGUCUGUCACGUCGGAUGUGAAAAUCCAGGGCUCAACCCUGGACCUGCAUUCGAUACGGGCAGACUAGAAUUCGGUAGGGGAGUCUGGAAUUCCUGGUGUAGCGGUGAAAUGCGCAGAUAUCAGGAGGAACACCGGUGGCGAAGGCGGGACUCUGGGCCGAUAUUGACGCUGAGGAGCGAAAGCGUGGGGAGCGAACAGG
rnacentral:rRNA from 1 species